GAUGAACGCUGGCGGCGUGCCUAAUACAUGCAAGUCGAGCGAACGGACGAGAAGCUUGCUUCUCUGAUGUUAGCGGCGGACGGGUGAGUAACACGUGGAUAACCUACCUAUAAGACUGGGAUAACUUCGGGAAACCGGAGCUAAUACCGGAUAAUAUUUUGAACCGCAUGGUUCAAAAGUGAAAGACGGUCUUGCUGUCACUUAUAGAUGGAUCCGCGCUGCAUUAGCUAGUUGGUAAGGUAACGGCUUACCAAGGCAACGAUGCAUAGCCGACCUGAGAGGGUGAUCGGCCACACUGGAACUGAGACACGGUCCAGACUCCUACGGGAGGCAGCAGUAGGGAAUCUUCCGCAAUGGGCGAAAGCCUGACGGAGCAACGCCGCGUGAGUGAUGAAGGUCUUCGGAUCGUAAAACUCUGUUAUUAGGGAAGAACAUAUGUGUAAGUAACUGUGCACAUCUUGACGGUACCUAAUCAGAAAGCCACGGCUAACUACGUGCCAGCAGCCGCGGUAAUACGUAGGUGGCAAGCGUUAUCCGGAAUUAUUGGGCGUAAAGCGCGCGUAGGCGGUUUUUUAAGUCUGAUGUGAAAGCCCACGGCUCAACCGUGGAGGGUCAUUGGAAACUGGAAAACUUGAGUGCAGAAGAGGAAAGUGGAAUUCCAUGUGUAGCGGUGAAAUGCGCAGAGAUAUGGAGGAACACCAGUGGCGAAGGCGACUUUCUGGUCUGUAACUGACGCUGAUGUGCGAAAGCGUGGGGAUCAAACAGGAUUAGAUACCCUGGUAGUCCACGCCGUAAACGAUGAGUGCUAAGUGUUAGGGGGUUUCCGCCCCUUAGUGCUGCAGCUAACGCAUUAAGCACUCCGCCUGGGGAGUACGACCGCAAGGUUGAAACUCAAAGGAAUUGACGGGGACCCGCACAAGCGGUGGAGCAUGUGGUUUAAUUCGAAGCAACGCGAAGAACCUUACCAAAUCUUGACAUCCUUUGACAACUCUAGAGAUAGAGCCUUCCCCUUCGGGGGGCAAAGUGACAGGUUGUGCAUGGUUGUCGUCAGCUCGUGUCGUGAGAUGUUGGGUUAAGUCCCGCAACGAGCGCAACCCUUAAGCUUAGUUGCCAUCAUUAAGUUGGGCACUCUAAGUUGACUGCCGGUGACAAACCGGAGGAAGGUGGGGAUGACGUCAAAUCAUCAUGCCCCUUAUGAUUUGGGCUACACACGUGCUACAAUGGACAAUACAAAGGGCAGCGAAACCGCGAGGUCAAGCAAAUCCCAUAAAGUUGUUCUCAGUUCGGAUUGUAGUCUGCAACUCGACUACAUGAAGCUGGAAUCGCUAGUAAUCGUAGAUCAGCAUGCUACGGUGAAUACGUUCCCGGGUCU
rnacentral:rRNA from 1 species